rnacentral:rRNA from 1 species
GACGAACGCUGGCGGCGUGCCUAAUACAUGCAAGUCGUGCGAAGCAGGUUUCAGGGCUUGCCCUGGGACCUGACUGAGCGGCGAACGGGUGAGUAACGCGUGGGUAACCUGCCUUGAGGUCCGGCACAACCCUGGGAAACCGGGGCUAAUGCCGGAUGGACCCUAAGGGUGAUGCCCUUAGGGGAAAGGUGGCCUCUGACGCAAGCUACCGCCUCGAGAUGGGCCCGCGUCCCAUUAGCUAGUUGGUGGGGUAAGAGCCCACCAAGGCGACGGUGGGUAGCCGGUAUGGGGGGAUGGCCGGCCACACUGGGACUGAGACACGGCCCAGACUCCUACGGGAGGCAGCAGUCGGGAAUCUUGGGCAAUGGGCGAAAGCCUGACCCAGCGACGCCGCGUGGGGGACGAAGGCCUCCGGGUCGUAAACCCCUGUCUUCGGGGACGAACGGCGCUAGUUCGAACAGGGCUAGCGAGUGACGGUACCCGAGGAGGAAGCCCCGGCUAACUACGUGCCAGCAGCCGCCGUAA